rnacentral:lncRNA from 1 species
GGAAGCUGAAGUCCAGAGGCUCUAUUCAGUCAAGGGGUGAUGAACUCUCUUUGGGUCUGGAGACAGGCUGGAACUGGGAUGAGAUAUGGAGACCCUGCCAUUUACGACAACGUGGAUGUAUCUGCAGGACAUUAAGACAAGUGCAAUAAGCAAGACACGGAAAGAAAAUAUAGCAUGGUCUCUCUUAUAUGUGGAAUUUUAAAAAUUAACUCUGAAUACUUUGGAUUAAACUGAUGCAGCAGUCAUCCAAGAGAUGUCCACAUAUGUACUCCUGUUAAUGUUAGUUCCUUUCAUCCAAGCCAUCAGAGGUUCUCCCUGGAUCUCAUUUUUGGGCUCUGAAAAAUCAAAUCUGUCCAUGGCAGUGCUAGCAUACUGUCUAUUAGAUUAAAUGAAGCUGUAAGCAUCUUUGAAGUACAAAUGAUACUUGGAAAGUAAAUGAAACUGGGAAUACUUGCAAGUAAAAUAUGGGAAGUCAAAGAGAUUAAAGGAUGAGAACCAGAAAUUGCUUAUGGCCAGUGUCCUGAGUAAGCCUCAGAAUCGCAUCCUAGAAGCAUCAAGUUCUUGUGUUACCCUAUGGAUCUAAAAAACGACUUCCUUAGUUUGAUGUAGUCUGCAGACAUCUCAUCAUCACAAAAACUUGAAAGCACUUACAGCACUAAGAAACUACCUUUGCAGAUUGUAAAAAAAGAUAGAAUCCUACUUAGUGUUUUGAUCACACCUGCCUAUUUCCCCAAGGUUUUACUGCAGGGUUAAAGAAUGAAUAAGCAUCUAGUUAUAUUUAAUAAACUCCAUGCCUUAUGGCUGAUUCUAAAGGCA